AAAAAGACAAACCCUAGAUUUGCGUGUCUAAUUUUGACUGUCCGUCUUAUAUGAAAUUUUUUUAUAAUUCGUAUUUUUAUUGGUAUUAGAUGAUAAAACAUGAUUAAUACUUUGUGCGUGACUUGUUUUUUUAUUUUUUUUAUAAUUGUUAAAUAUUGGGCACGGAAACC
rnacentral:pre_miRNA from 1 species